AAUGAAAGAUGAUGUAAAGAAUACAUAAAGAUGUAUUUCCAAUUAUCACAAAUAUAUAAUCAAUUGACAACAACUUAAUUAUAUCCAACAUAGAAGAGUUUUAAUACCUUCUAAUAUUAUAAUAUCUCACUAUAUUAGUGGCUAAAUCAGUUUUCUCUAGCACAAAUAUUCACUCCAUUCUUGGAGAUUAAGCUUUUCUAUCUAAUGAUAUUAGUAGUUUGAUCUCAAAAAAAAAACGGUUGAACUGUACAUUGUAAUUGAAGAAAGAAAACAAUCAAAAAUCAACCGAAGACUUUUAAGGUAUAUGAAACAAAAAUUAGAAAUAGCAAUUAUCUACAAUUAAAGAAUAAGGUAAUAAAAUUUUAAAAAUAAAAAAAUAAAACAAAAAAUAUACAAUAAAAGAAAAAUUUAGUAAAAUAAAAUCAUAAUAUAAUUUCCAUAAUUGAUAGUGCUUAGCUACACUAAAAAGUCUAAAUUCACAACAUACACAGUUUUAUUUACAUCUUUAAACAUAUUAUCUAAUUAAAAUGAUUCCAAAAAAGUGCCAACAUAAAGAGUUAGAAAAUAUACGAUAAAAUAUAAAACAUAACAUUAAAAAUACAUUAUCACUGAUCACUAAAACAUCAUGUUAGUAGUAAUAAAAAUGAAAUGACAACACAUUUAUUAAAACCAUAGAACAACACGCCACAAAGUGUUAUUAAAUAUACAAACUACAAAUUUAAUAUGCUCAACGCAAACACACAUAAAAAUGAGACAUCAUAUUUGGAUAUAUUUAAAUAAAUAAUUUUAAAUAUAUUAUAUUCUUGAUAAUUUUAAAAUACUUAAAAAGAAACUAAAUUAUUAAAAAAAAAAUAUACAAAUAAAACUAAAGCAAUAUUUUGUAACGUAAAAAUAAUAAAUGAAUAAAAAAUAGAUUAUGUUAAUAAAAUAGAUUAUAUAUUUUAAAGACUUCUAAUUCAUGUAGUAUUAAAAAAAUCAAAAUUUGUUUAUUACAAUUAGUAUUUUACCAUUAGAUAUAUUAAAAUAAUAUUCUAGAUCGAUAUUCAAUUGUCAGUUUUCAACUAUUACACAUAAAAAAAAUAUUAUUAAGUACACUUUCUUUUUGAAAAGGGGGUUUUAUAUUUUAAGUAGGUUAUUG
rnacentral:lncRNA from 1 species